GACGAACGCUGGCGGCGCGCCUAACACAUGCAAGUCGAACGGUGAAGCGGAGCUUGCUCCUCGGAACAGUGGCGGACGGGUGAGUAACACGUGAGCAACCUGGCUCUAAGAGGGGGACAACAGUUGGAAACGACUGCUAAUACCGCAUGACGUAUCGGGAUGGCAUCUUCCUGAUACCAAAGAUUUUAUCGCUUAGAGAUGGGCUCGCGUCUGAUUAGAUAGUUGGCGGGGUAACGGCCCACCAAGUCGACGAUCAGUAGCCGGACUGAGAGGUUGAACGGCCACAUUGGGACUGAGACACGGCCCAGACUCCUACGGGAGGCAGCAGUGGGGGAUAUUGGACAAUGGGGGCAACCCUGAUCCAGCGACGCCGCGUGAGGGAAGAAGGUUUUCGGAUUGUAAACCUCUGUUGACGGAGAAAAAAAUGAUGGUAUCCGUUUAGAAAGCCACGGCUAACUACGUG
rnacentral:rRNA from 1 species